rnacentral:rRNA from 1 species
UUUUAAUUGGGGACUGGUAUGAAAGGUUGAAUAAGGGGUUAACUGUUUUAUUAAUAGAGGUUGAAUUUGAUUAUCAAGUAAAAAGGCUUGAAUAUUGUAGAGUGACAAGAAGACCCUAAGAGUUUUAUUAAACCAAAUAACUUGUCAUGAUGUAUAAGUAACAUAGAGAUUGGGAGGUUUAAGGUUAGCUGGGGCGGUUGAAAUAAUAUCUAUUUUGGUGAUUACAGUAAUUGUUGAAAUAUUUUAAUUAACUAUCCUUGUUGGAAGUCAAUAUUAAUUACCUUAGGGAUAACAGCAUAAUCUUUUUUGAGAGAUCUUAUUGACAGAAAGGUUUGUGACCUCGAUGUUGGAUUUGAAUAACUGUAAGGAGCAGAAUUUUUAUAAGUUGGUCUGUUCGACCAUUAAAUCUCAACAUGAUUUGA